UUUGGACAAAGCUUAUGAAUCAGAGGAGGAUGGAGACUUCCUGUUGAAACAGGCGGCUCAACAUUCUGCAGCCUUAAGAAUGUGACACCACUGACUGUACCCAUACCAGAAGAGUGACACAAUCUUCAUGCAACGCAUAGUAUAGGUGACCAUUCCCCUGCAGGAGGAAGUUCCUUGGUUCUCACCUCUUCACCCUGUGGGAGAGGCUUCCUCUAGAGCUGUUAAGGGGGAGGCCUCGCCACCCUGCGUGUUCAAGGGAUUCCAACUAUGAUUCACUGAGCUUGCUUGCUCUCGAGCAAGUUCUCCUCUCCUCUCUCUGCCUGAGCCGAUCAACAUUUCACACUCCUCCUCCUCUUCCCCCUGAGUCAGAGAGCCGUCUUUUUUCUCAGUGGAAUUUCAGACACCAGUGCACAGAUUAAUUCUCUCACGCAGCGUGUCCCAGUCCCUGGAGUAUUACACCUAAGUGAAACGGAAUACCUGUGCACACGUGCAGCUUACAUACGGGCGGAGGAUUCAUCUUGAAAAGGAAAGCAGACGUGCUUUUGGCUUCAUCCCAUCAUCCCUGGGGGUCAUCUUCACAUCAGAGAAGGGCAUCCUCGACUCAGGCCAAGGGGAAGCACGAAGGAAGAGGAUGUGUGUAUACUGCUGUGUAUGUGUAUGUGUGUGUGUGCGUGUGUGUGUGUGUUUAUGCCUGCAAAAGCUCUUUAGUUCACAGUGCUGGGAACAGCUGCAGGCAGGACUUCCUGUUCUGCACAGGAAACAAAAUGGCGGAGAAUGGGAGGCCUGGAACAAUGCUGUGAAAGUCAGCCACCACCCAGGUUAGAAGCGAGGUGCUUGUGAAUCACAAGGCAGAAAGGUGAGCAGAGCACGUUCCAUUAGUGCUGCAGGAACCACAUGUUGGAAUAUCUUCCCUCCAAUGGCCUUUGUGAAGAAUUCAAAGAAGUCUCUUUCCAUAGCAGGUAUACAUGAAAGUAAAACUAUACAGAUCGCAUCUGAAUAUAAACUAAAACUCCUCUUCGCACUAGUUUUUAGGCAUUUUGUCAUUAAAUGUUGGAAAAAACAGUAUGUUCACCAAAUAACAUGAAAGUAAAAGUAACUGAUUUUUGAUUACUUUUGUAUUAUUUAGAUCCUCAUGUGCCAGUUAUAAUGCAGCAGCUGCCCUUGCUGAGGCACAAUAAAUACACGUUGAAAGUCAUGUAUUAUAGGACAAAAUUACAUACAUCCUGUUAUGUUGUCUGAAGCAUGUGGUACAUGUCUGUGUGUGUGAUUACUGUACAUUAAAGCAAAAACAAUGCUCAAGAAAACAAUACAAAGUAUUAACAGCCAGUUAUCAAUAUACAAUUAAAUGUGCCAAAAGUUGAGUGAACAUUCCAAUGAAAGCCAGGAUUCAUGUUAAAUUAUGUUUUGAUCAGGUAUCAGGUAUCAGGGUGUGCUUUCAUAGAUCUACUAGGCCACAUGACAGGGAACACCAUUUUCCAGCCCUGACCUAAUGUACCUUUAGCGUUACUUUUAAGCUGCUUUUAACUCCUGCUGUCACCCAAGCAAAGAGCAGAUACUCGGCAGCUUGAUGCAGCCUACAUUAUAUCUGCUUAGGUUAAGCUGCCGUGGCCGUACCCAGUGGCUUGUUAGGCAGUUUCAUCUGAAUUAAGCAGUCCAGCUAUUAGGCAGCAAAAUAAUACAGAAAACAAUCACACACUCACAGUUUCCUUUCACAGUCACUUUGUGUCAGAGAAUUUAGGCUCUCUGCCAAAAAGACCUUUGUCAUGAGCAUUCUCACGUUUCAAAACUGAUGAGAAUAGCAAGGAGGAUGGAAGUUUAUAGCUACAUCUUUGUUUUCAGGAUGUUACACAGGCACUAUAUUUAGUCUGUUAGAGAUAUAAUAAUCUGCUUUGUGCCUGUUUUGUAUCUUUUGUGGUUACAGAACUGUCUCUCCUAUCUGCCAUUUUCCUCUGGCUAGAGCCUCGUUCUCAAAUAACUGACAUUAAUAGUAACUGGGAAUGAGUUACAGCAUUUGAGUGCCGAAUUUGAAGCAUAAUUAUACCUCUUUAUUUCCAGUGGUGCAUUAGUGAUGGAGGAAGAGAUGGAAGCAGUGAGGAAUUUUAGACAAUGGCAAUAUAUAGGCCAAGUUACAGCACAGCUUUAAAAAAAAAACUGAGCCAUUACAUUAUGUAACAAUAAAUAGUACUCCACCAGAGAUUUCCAUGCACUUUUUUCCUUUUCCAAUCUCACCACCUACAGUCUCCUGAUAAUGCCCUCAAAAAUAGAGGUGUGAUAAAAGCAGGAUUAGAAAACUCUUGGGGAGAACACACAUUUUGAACACUGUAUCUAACUUCAAAGACUCCAUUCUUGAGAGUUAUCAAUGGGUUGCCACUUGCUGGAUAUAUUGUAUAUUGUGUUAGCCUUUUUGAUAGUGUCUCUUGGUUUGCUACAGUCUAAAGAAUUCAGAGAGACUUAGGUGGUUGUAUUCUCACACAUAUGGAGCCAUUGUCCCAGGAGCCAA